GACGAACGCUGGCGGCGUGCUUAACACAUGCAAGUCGAACGGAAAGGCCCUGCUUUUGUGGGGUGCUCGAGUGGCGAACGGGUGAGUAACACGUGAGUAACCUGCCCUUGACUUUGGGAUAACUUCAGGAAACUGGGGCUAAUACCGGAUAGGAGCUCCUGCUGCAUGGUGGGGGUUGGAAAGUUUCGGCGGUUGGGGAUGGACUCGCGGCUUAUCAGCUUGUUGGUGGGGUAGUGGCUUACCAAGGCUUUGACGGGUAGCCAGCCUGAGAGGGUGACCGGCCACAUUGGGACUGAGAUACGGCCCAGACUCCUACGGGAGGCAACAGUGGGGAAUAUUGCACAAUGGGCGGAAGCCUGAUGCAGCAACGCCGCGUGCGGGAUGACGGCCUUCGGGUUGUAAACCGCUUUCGCCUGUGACGAAGCGUGAGUGACGGUAAUGGGUAAAGAAGCACCGGCUAACUACGU
rnacentral:rRNA from 1 species